rnacentral:rRNA from 1 species
UACGUAGGCAGCAAGCGUUGUUCGGAAUUACUGGGCGUAAAGAGUGUGUAGGCGGUGCUCUAAGUCUGUUGUGAAAUCUCCCGGCUUAACCUGGGAAUUGCAGUCGAGACUGCUCGGCUAGAGUGUGGGAGAGGGUGGUGGAAUUCCCGGUGUAGCGGUGAAAUGCGUAGAUAUCGGGAGGAACAUCAGUGGCGAAGGCGACCACCUGGCCCAACACUGACGCUGAGGUGCGAAAGCGUGGGUAGCAAACAGG